AUGGCGCGGGGCCGCUACACUUUUAGARUUAGCGUUYGACCUACGGCAAGCACGUACGGUGUUACAACGGCGAUCAGACCUGGUCGGAUCCCGUUCCCGGACGACUGUUGGCACGUAGUGUUCUCGAACAGACCUCGUUGAAACGCCGAUCUGCGACGCUAUAGCUUUGGGUACUUUCAGGACCCGUCUUGAAACACGGACCAAGGAGUYUAGCAUGUGCGCGAGUCAUUGGGACUUAAUAAACCUAAAGGCGUAAUGAAAGUAAAGAUUCGUCUUGCACGAAUCGAGGGAGGAUGAGCGGUUUGCCCUUAAAGUGGCCGCUCCGCACUCCCGGGGCGUCUCGUUC
rnacentral:rRNA from 1 species